UACGUAGGUGGCAAGCGUUGUUCGGAAUUACUGGGCGUAAAGCGCGUGUAGGCGGCUCUUCAAGUCAGACGUGAAAGCCUCGGGCUUAACCCGGGAACUGCGUUUGAUACUGUCGAGCUAGAGUGUGGAAGGGGCGAUUGGAAUUCCGUGUGUAGCGGUGAAAUGCGUAGAUAUACGGAGGAACACCAGAGGCGAAGGCGGAUCGCUGGGCCAACACUGACGCUGAGACGCGAAAGCUAGGGGAGCAAACGGG
rnacentral:rRNA from 1 species